AUUGAACGCUGGCGGCAUGAUUUACACAUGCAAGUCGAACGGUAACAGGCCGCAAGGUGCUGACGAGUGGCGAACGGGUGAGUAAUGCAUCGGAACGUGCCCAGUCGUGGGGGAUAACUACUCGAAAGAGUAGCUAGUACCGCAUACGAUCUAUGGAUGAAAGCGGGGGACCGUAAGGCCUCGCGCGAUUGGAGCGGCCGAUGUCAGAUUAGGUAGUUGGUGGGGUAAGGGCUCACCAAGCCAACGAUCUGUAGCUGGUCUGAGAGGACGACCAGCCACACUGGGACUGAGACACGGCCCAGACUCCUACGGGAGGCAGCAGUGGGGAAUUUUGGACAAUGGGCGCAAGCCUGAUCCAGCAAUGCCGCGUGCAGGAAGAAGGCCUUCGGGUUGUAAACUGCUUUUGUACGGAACGAAACGGCUCCGGCUAAUACCCGGGGCUAAUGACGGUACCGCAAGAAUAAGCACCGGCUAACUACGU
rnacentral:rRNA from 1 species